AGCCCCUUAGUACAGUGGUCAAGUAUAUCGGACUCUGAAUCCGGUGACCCAGGUUCGAAUCCUGGAGGGGCUA
rnacentral:tRNA from 1 species